rnacentral:tRNA from 1 species
UCCCUGGUGGCUCAGAUGGUAAAGAAUCUGCCUGCAAUGCAGAAAACCCAGGUUCGAUUGCUGGGUUGGGAA